AAUGAACGCUAGCGGCAGGCUUAAUACAUGCAAGUCGAGGGACAGCACAGGUAGCAAUACUGGGUGGUAACCGGCAAACGGGUGCGGAACACGUACACAACCUUCCUUUAAGUGGGGGAUAGCCCAGAGAAAUUUGGAUUAAUACCCCGUAAUAUAGUUGAUUGGCAUCAUUUGAUUAUUAUAGCUACGGCGCUUAAUGAUGGGUGUGCGGCUGAUUAGAUAGUUGGCGGGGUAACGGCCCACCAAGUCUACGAUCAGUAGCUGAUGUGAGGGCAUGAUCAGCCACACGGGCACUGAGACACGGGCCCGACCCCUACGGGAGGCAGCAGUAAGGAAUAUUGGUCAAUGGACGCAAGUCUGAACCAGCCAUGCCGCGUGAAGGAUUAAGGUCCUCUGGAUUGUAAACUUCCUUUAUUUGGGACGAAAAAGGGCCUUUCUAGGUCAACUGACGGUACCAGAUGAAUAAGCACCGGCUAACUCCGUGCCAGCCGCCGCCGUAACAC
rnacentral:rRNA from 1 species